GGGCUCAUAGCUCAGUUGGCAGAGCGCAUCGCUGAUAACGAUGAAGUCCCAGGUUCAAGUCCUGGUGGGCCCA
rnacentral:tRNA from 1 species